rnacentral:rRNA from 1 species
AAGCCAGACUCCUACGGGAGGCAGCAGUGGGGGAUAUUGCACAAUGGGGGGAACCCUGAUGCAGCGACGCCGCGUGGGUGAAGGAGUAUUUCGGUCUGUAAAUCCCUAUCGGCAGGGAAGAAGGAAGACGGUACCUGACUAAGAAGCCCCGGCUAACUACGUGCCAGCAGCCGCGGUAAUACGUAGGGGGCGAGCGUUAUCCGGAUUCACUGGGGGUAAAGGGAGCGUAGACGGCCAAGCAAGCCAGGGGUGAAAGCCCGGGGCCCAACCCCGGGACUGCCCUUGGAACUGCAUGGCUGGAGUGCGGGAGGGGCAGGCGGAAUUCCUGGUGUAGCGGUGAAAUGCGUAGAUAUCAGGAGGAACACCGGCGGCGAAGGCGGCCUGCUGGACCGCGACUGACGUUGAGGCUCGAAAGCGUGGGGAGCGAACAGGAUUAGAUACCCUCGUA